rnacentral:rRNA from 1 species
AGAGCGAACGCUGGCGGCAUGCUUAACACAUGCAAGUCGCACGGGCACUUCGGUGUCAGUGGCGGACGGGUGAGUAACGCGUAGGUAUCUAUCCUUGGGUGGGGGACAACGGUUGGAAACGACUGCUAAUACCGCAUGAUAACUGAGGUUUAAAGGCGCAAGUCGCCUGAGGAGGAGCCUGCGUACGAUUAGCUAGUUGGUGGGUAAAGCCUACCAAGGCGACGAUCGUUAGCUGGUCUGAGAGGAUGAUCAGCCACAUUGGGACUGAGACACGGCCCAAACUCCUACGGGAGGCAGCAGUGGGGAAUAUUGGACAAUGGGCGAAAGCCUGAUCCAGCAAUGCCGCGUGUGUGAAGAAGGUCUUCGGAUUGUAAAGCACUUUCGACAGGGACGAUGAUGACGGUACCUGUAGAGAAGCCCGGCUAACUUCGUGCCAGCAGCCGC